ACAAGCGGUGGAGUAUGUGGUUUAAUUCGAUGCAACGCGAAGAACCUUACCUGGUCUUGACAUCCCGGAGACCCUUAGGAAACUAAGGGGGUGGCUUCCAUCUGGAAGAAUACUGGAGACAGGUGCUGCAUGGCUGUCGUCAGCUCGUGUCGUGAGAUGUUGGGUUAAGUCCCGCAACGAGCGCAACCCUUGCCUUUAGUUGCCAGCAGUUCGGCUGGGCACUCUAAAGGGACUGCCGGUGUUAAACCGGAGGAAGGUGGGGAUGACGUCAAGUCCUCAUGGCCUUUAUGGCCAGGGCUACACACGUACUACAAUGGCCGAUACAAAGGGCAGCGACACUGCGAGGUGAAGCCAAUCCCGUAAAAUCGGUCUCAGUCCGGAUUGGAGUCUGCAACUCGACUCCAUGAAGUUGGAAUCGCUAGUAAUCGUGGAUCAGCAUGCCACGGUGAAUACGUUCCCGGGCCUU
rnacentral:rRNA from 1 species